UACGAUAGGGUGCAAGCGUUGUCCGGAAUUAUUGGGCGUAAAGAGCUCGUAGGUCGUUUGUUACGUCGGAUGUGAAAACCUGGAGGCUCAACCUCAGGCCUGCAUUCGAUACGGGCAAACUAGAGUUUGGUAGGGGAGACUGGAAUUCCUGGUGUAGCGGUGGAAUGCGCAGAUAUCAGGAGGAACACCAAUGGCGAAGGCAGGUCUCUGGGCCAAUACUGACACUGAGGAGCGAAAGUCUGGGGAGCGAACAGG
rnacentral:rRNA from 1 species